rnacentral:rRNA from 1 species
UACGUAGGGGGCGAGCGUUGUCCGAAGUUACUGGGCGUAAAGAGUACGUAGGUGGCUUUCUAAGUUACAUCUGAAAGUUGACAGCUCAACUGUCGAAGGAGGUGUAAGACUGGGAACUUGAGGCAAGCAGAAGAGUGUGGAACUCCGAGUGUAGCGGUGGAAUGCGUAGAGAUUCGGAAGAACACCCAAGGCGAAGGCAGCACUCUGGGCUUGAGAACCUAUCUGUAGGAGGGGAAUCCGUUCCCCGAUAAACAGAAUGGGCCUGACACUGAGGUACGAAAGCCAGGGGAGCGAACGGG